CCUGGUUAGUACUUGGAUGGUAGACCGCCUAGGAAUACUAGG
ensembl:rRNA 5S_rRNA 5S ribosomal RNA